AGUUGUAAUUUGURGAGGAUGCUUCGGGCGCGGCGCCGGUCUAAGUUCCUUGGAACAGGACGUCACAGAGGGUGAGAACCCCGUACGUGACCGGCGGCCGAGYCCGUGUGAAGCUCCUUCGGCGAGUCGAGUUGCUUGGGAAUGCAGCUCCWRAUGGGUGGUAAAUUUCAUCUAAAGCUAAAUACCGGCCGGAGACUAAUAGCGCACAAGUAGAGUGAUCGAAAGAUGAAAAGCACUUUGGAAAGAGAGUCAAACAGUACGUGAAAUUGUUGAAAGGGAAGCGCUUGCGACCAGACUUGCCCGCGGGUGAUCAGCCGUUAUUGGUAGCGGUGCACUCGCCCGCGGACAGGCCAGCGUCGGCCCGGGCGGUCGGACAAAGGCCCCGGGAAUGUAGCUCCCCCCGGGGAGUGUUAUAGCCCGGGGCGCAAUGCGGCCGGCCCGGACCGAGGACCGCGCUUCGGCUAGGACGCUGGCGUAAUGGCCGUAAGCGACCCGUCUUGAAACACGGACCAAGGAGUCUAACGUCCCUGCGAGURUUUGGGUGUCAAACCCACGCGCGGAAUGAAAGUGAACGGAGGUGGGAGCCCUCCGGGGCGCACCAUCGACCGAUCCUGAUGUCUUCGGAUGGAUUUGAGUAAGAGCAUGGCCGUUGGGACCCGAAAGAUGGUGAACUAUGCCUGGAUAGGGUGAAGCCAGAGGAAACUCUGGUGGAGGCUCGCAGCGGUUCUGACGUGCAAAUCGAUCGUCAAAUCUGGGUAUAGGGGCGAAAGACUAAUCGAACCAUCUAGUAGCUGGUUCAUGCCGAAGUUUCCCUCAGGAUAGCAGUAACGUUCUUCAGUUUUAUGAGGUAAAGCGAAUGAUCAGAGGCCUUGGGGUUGAAACAACCUUAACCUAUUCUCAAACUUUAAAUAUGUAAGAAGUCCUUGUUGCUCAGUUGAACGUGGACAUUUGAAUGCACCGUUACUAGUGGGCCAUUUUUGGUAAGCAGAACUGGCGAUGCGGGAUGAACCGAACGUGAGGUUAAGGUGCCGGAAUGCACGCUCAUCAGA
rnacentral:rRNA from 1 species